rnacentral:rRNA from 1 species
CCUACGGGGGGCUGCAGUGGGGAAUAUUGGACAAUGGGGGCAACCCUGAUCCAGCCAUGCCGCGUGUGUGAAGAAGGCCCUCGGGUUGUAAAGCACUUUCAGUGAGGAAGAACGCCUGGUGGUUAAUACCCAUCAGGAAAGACAUCACUCACAGAAGAAGCACCGGCUAACUCCGUGCCAGCAGCCGCGGUAAUACGGAGGGUGCGAGCGUUAAUCGGAAUUACUGGGCGUAAAGCGCGCGUAGGUGGCUUGAUAAGCCGGUUGUGAAAGCCCCGGGCUCAACCUGGGAACGGCAUCCGGAACUGUCAAGCUAGAGUGCAGGAGAGGAAGGUAGAAUUCCCGGUGUAGCGGUGAAAUGCGUAGAGAUCGGGAGGAAUACCAGUGGCGAAGGCGACCUUCUGGACUGACACUGACACUGAGGUGCGAAAGCGUGGGUAGCAAACAGGAUUAGAUACCCUAGUAGUC